UCUGUCAUUGCUAUUGAAUUCUUGCUCUUUCAGUCCUAUUUGCUGAAGUUUAAUUCACAAAGAGGCCCACCCUCUCACUGAACUUUUUAUAUUCUUGUUUUUCAUUUGUUCGUGAUUAGUAAGAAUUGCUAAACUUGUUUGUUUUUGAAUUGGGAUCCUUUGGCGGGUUUCUAAGAUAUUAGGGGAGGAAUGGAAGAACCUGUCAGAAGAAAAGCGAGCACCUUAUGAAGAGAUUGCCAAGAAGCAGAGGGAAGAUUAUCUGCAACAAAUGGAGCUUUAUAAAUAGAAGAAUAAUGAGGAAGUAGCAACUCUUCAAAAGGAAGAUGAGGAACAAAGAAAGGUGAAAAAACAGGAAGCCCUGCAAUUGCUCAAGGAGGAAAAAA